GGGCCCAUAGCUUAGCAAGGUUAGAGCGUCGGCCUUCGGAGCCGAAGGGGCGGGUUCAAAUCCCGCUGGGCCCU
rnacentral:tRNA from 2 species